UACAGAGGGUGCGAGCGUUGUUCGGAAUUAUUGGGCGUAAAGGGCGCGUAGGCGGUGCGGUAAGUCACCUGUGAAAUCUCCUGGCUCAACUGGGAGCUUGCAGGCGAAACUGCCGUGCUGGAGUGUGGGAGAGGUGCGUGGAAUUCCUGGUGUAGCGGUGAAAUGCGUAGAUAUCGGGAGGAACACCUGUGGCGAAAGCGGCUCACUGGACCACAACUGACGCUGAGGUACGAAAGCGUGGGGAGCAAACAGG
rnacentral:rRNA from 1 species